CAAUAGCGUAUAUUAAAGUUGUUGCGGUUAAAAAGCUCGUAGUUGGAUUUCUGCCGAGGACGACCGGUCCGCCCUGUGGGUGAGCAUCUGGAUCGGCCUGGGCAUCUUCUUGGGGAACGUAGCUGCACUUGACUGUGUGGUGCGGUAUCCAGGACUUUACCUUGAGGAAAUUAGAGUGUUUCAAGCAGGCGCACGCCUUGAAUACAUUAGCAUGGAAUAAUGAUAUAGGACCUUGGUACUAUUUUGUUGGUUUGCGCACUGAGGUAAUGAUUAAGAGGGACAGUUGGGGGUAUUUGUAUUCCAUUGUCAGAGGUGAAAUUCUUGGAUUUUUGGAAGACAAACUACUGCGAAAGCAUUUACCAAGGAUGUUUUUCAUUAAUCAAGAACGAAAGUUAGGGGAUCGAAGACGAUCAGAU
rnacentral:rRNA from 1 species